UAUAAAAUUGUUUACUGAAUCAGAUAUAUUGUUUCUCUUGUUUUGGCAUAGUCAAAUGGAUGUGAACACCAGAUGAGGUGGACAUUCCGAAGUUACUGAAGUUAAUGGGAAAAACACUUUUCAUAAAACAAUACUUUCCUCAACUAGCUUUGUCGUGUAAAUGAUAAAAUAUAACAAGAACAGAUAUAGUAAUAGUUUAUUACCUUCUCAAACUACCAACCACGUCAUUUAGACAAUAGAUCAAUAGAAUUUCCAAAUCUCCCCAUAUAAAAUAGCAACUAUAUCUAUGCAAUAUGACUAGCAAUUACUUUCUUCCUCCUUUUUGACCUUGUGAUGCAACUCUUUGAAACCUUCCUCACUUUCCACCACAAAAUCCUACUGUGUGUACACUACAUCUUGUUAAAGUUGACAUAUCAAUGCGACAUCGAUAUACGCAACUUGUGUUUGGGACACAUGGAAGGGACUUGACCUCGUUAUACUUUUUUGGCUCUAGUUCCUUGUACAUGCAACCUGACUUAUGUUCAUUCCUGAUAACAUGCCAAUAUAUCUCUUCUUAAUGUGAGCGAGCGGCAAGCAAAUCACACGUGCGCACUUAUGCGAGUGCGAUGGUGAUGCUCACACUCACCUUUCCCUUUCGCCGGUUACGCCUCCGUCGCCUAAUAAAGCCUGAAGCCCCCGUUGGAAGGAGAACGACCGGCCGAUCGACCCCUAAAUCUCUCUCAAUUCGAGGACCCCUCCGCUCCACUGGGCCGGCGCUCUCGUCGCCUCCUCUGUCCACUGGAUUUGGCCAGGACUCCAGUGAAAAUGGAUGGGAACACCAGAGGAGGUGGACAUUUUGAAGUUACUGAAGUUAAUGGGAACAACACUUUUCAUAAAACAAUACUUUCCUCAACCAGCUUUAUCGUGUAAAUGAAAAAAUAUAACAAGAACAUAUAUAGUAAUAAUUUAUUACCUUCUCUUAUUUUGCGAAUAAAUGUAUUACCUUCUCAAACUACCAACCACAUCAUUUAGUCAAUAGAUCAAUAAAAUUUCCAAAUCUCCACAUAUAAAAUAGCAACUAUAUCUAUGCAAGAUAACUAGCAAUUACUUUCUUCCUCCUUUUUGUCCUUGUGAUGCAAUUCUUUGAAACUUUCCUCGCUUUCCACCACGAAAUCCUAUAGUGUGUACACCACCUGUUGUUAAAGUUGACAUCUCAGUGCGACACCGAUAUACGCAACUUGUGUUUGGGACACAUGGAAGGGACUUGACCUUGGUAUACAUUUUUGGCUCUAGUUCCUUGUACAUGCAACAUGACUCAUGUUCAUUCCUGAUAACAUGCCAAUA